ACACAGAAACUGAGGAUGAACAGGAAGAUGUAAUUGGUUAAGAUAAGAUCAUACUGGAUGUGGAUGGGUCCUAGAUCUGACUGCUGAUAUCCUUAUAAGAAGAAGAAAGGACACGCGGAGACUACAGUGAUGUUGCCACAAGCCAAGAAAUGCCAAGAAUUUCGGGAGCCACCAGAAGAUGGAAGAGGCAGGGAAAAAUCCUCCCCUAAAGCCUUCAGAGAGAGCAUAGCUCUGCCAACACCUUGAUUCUGGACAUCUAGCCUCUUAAACUUCCUCAGGUGUCUCAUUUCUUCUGUCUCAGAAGUCAUGGAUGUCAAUGAAGAUAUGGAAUUCACUUAUUCAUUCUUAUAAAUAUUACUUAGUGUCCUUGUGCUUGGCACUGUGCUUGGUCAUUGAGAUCUACUGUUCAAAAGCAAGAUAACAUACAGGCUGGAAUAGCGAGAUGCAAGAAUCCCAAGCCUUCAAAGCCAGCUCCUGCAGAAGAGAGAGGGCCUGGCAGCUGAGCUGGAUGCUUCAGGAGCAGAGGAUCUAUCAACUGCAGACCAAGCACAGGGAGACGCAGGCAAACCUGGAACAGUAACCCAGCCAGCUCCAAUUGCUCCGACAGUACUUGGUGGCCAGAGAGUCGGCAGCAGAAAGCAUGCCCCGGGCCGUGAAGCAGGAAAUCGACUCUGACUCAAUCCUUGAGGUCUGCCUCUGAGUGACAGGCACAAUAUCUCAGACUAUCAGAAGCC
rnacentral:lncRNA from 10 species